rnacentral:rRNA from 1 species
GGCCUAACACAUGCAAGUCGAGCGCAGUCCUUCGGGACCGAGCGGCGGACGGGUUAGUAACGCGUGGGAAUAUACCCUUCACUACGGAAUAGCCUCGGGAAACUGAGAGUAAUACCGUAUACGCCCUUCGGGGGAAAGAUUUAUCGGUGAAGGAUUAGCCCGCGUAAGAUUAGAUAGUUGGUGGGGUAAUGGCCUACCAAGUCGACGAUCUUUAGCUGGUUUUAGAGGAUGAUCAGCAACACUGGGACUGAGACACGGCCCAGACUCCUACGGGAGGCAGCAGUGGGGAAUCUUGGACAAUGGGCGCAAGCCUGAUCCAGCCAUGCCGCGUGUGUGAUGAAGGCCUUAGGGUCGUAAAGCACUUUCGCCAGAGAUGAUAAUGACAGUAUCUGGUAAAGAAACCCCGGCUAACUCCGUGCCAGCAGCCGCGGUAAUACGGAGGGGGUUAGCGUUGUUCGGAAUUACUGGGCGUAAAGCGCACGUAGGCGGACUAGUCAGUCAGAGGUGAAAUCCCAGGGCUCAACCCUGGAACUGCCUUUGAUACUGCUAGUCUUGAGUUCGAGAGAGGUGAGUGGAAUUCCGAG